CACCCACUUAAAAAAUAUUCUUAAAAAAUAUCUGGAACACCAGCUCUAUUUUUUAAGAAGCCCCCUCCACAUGACCCCAGCCUUUGUGAGGUGUUCUCCAUUUUAUUCCUACAGCGACUGACCGGCUGAAAAAACAAAUCCGGUUAUUCUGUGUAAAUUUGAGAUGGACAUAAUUUUCUCCCGAGAGUUCUACUUCACAUUAUCUCGUUCUCUCUUGUGAAAUCACCCUAAUAAUCUCACUCUGGAUAUUCUCCUCCAGAGGGUGAGAGUGCAAUGGGAGUUGGGCUUUAUGUCUUUCUGUUUCUCACGCAGGUAAUUCAGUAGAUGCUGCCGAUCUACAGAAGGUUGAAUAAUAGAAGUGAAAUACUUAUCCAGAUCUCAUUAUGGGAGCUGCAUUGAUAUUUCAGAGAUCAUUACUUGCAUUAUCCAACGGAAGGAGAAGAACCCAUAUCAGUUGCUGCUGAAGUUGACAAGGAUAGAGUAACAUGUUUCUGAAAAUGGAUCCAACUGGUCGAUCAAAAAGAGCGGUUGUAUUUUUGUGGUUUGGAGCUGUUGGUAGAAGCAAUUAGGGCAACAAGUGUUUCGAUCUGACGUUCUACAAAUUCUGCAGACUUAUGGAACAAAGCUGUUCCAACAAUCAUGUUAAGCAGUUACAGCAGCAAAUGCUGUGGCACUUUUUCGGUCAAAAAUUCGAGCAGAGCAGUUAUGUGGGAAUGUCAGGAACAGUUAAUAAAGGGUUUUAGAGAAGAGUUACAUUGUAUAUGCCUGUUUAUUGAAAAUCAUCUUGCAGCAAGUGCCCUCCCUAACUUUUGCCAGGAGAUUUACCCUGCCUUCCAAGUAGGAUGAGGGUUCUUCUAACCACACGCAGGUUUGAUAAGACUGACAUACUUUUGGAGAGAGGUUUUCCAUUUGAGGUAGAGUUGCUUUCUCACUUAGACUGGGAAAAGCUUUUAUAUAAAAUAGCUCUUGUCAGUGCUAAAACAUUGCAUCUGAAAGGCAUUGAGAGCAUAGAUCUGGACAAAAUUGUGAAAAUAUGGUGUGGAAUUCCUUUAGUUUUAGAAAUAGUCGGGCCUAAAUUUAAAAAGAAUUGAUGCUCAUGAUACAAUAAGCUUUGACUACUUGUUUUCAUUGGAAGAUUUGGUUUCAAAAGGCUAUGAUGUAUCAGUAGCAAUUCCAACAAACUUUGGCCUGCUAAAGCCUUGAAUUGUUUUGAAGGCAAGUUAGUGUCCUGUUUUUUAAAUGUUAAACUUAUCCGAGUACAUUAAAUUGGCUAGUCUCUCUUCCAACUUUGGACAGCUCACAACUUUAAAAGCUGUAUUUGUGGAGAAAUGUAGCGCUUUGACUACUUUGUCCAACAGCUUUGGCAAUCUAUCUUCUUUGUGGGAUAAACUCUUUGCAUUGCCUAAAGGCUUUGGUGGACUAUCUACUUUGAAGUUUGUAGAUUUUAGUGGCUGUUCCAACUUAGAGAGUUGUGCAGAGCGAUUUGAUCAGCUGACUUGUUUGAAAGUCAUGUGGGAGAAUGUGGACACUUGUCUAGUCUUUCUGACAAUUUUGGAAAGUUUAGCAUUAAAUCUUUGGAAUAUAUAGGCAUGGAUAGUUGCAACAAUUUGAAGAUGCUUAACAGUGCUUGUGGAUUUUUAGUUUCAUUGAUAGCGCUGGAUACAGGGUGAAAGUAAUCAGUUGGCACGUUGUUUGUUAUUUAAGCUUUAUUCUAGAUGUAUCACAUUGCCAAGCUUUGAAGAAAGAGUCAGUGGAUAUCCUAAUUGAGAUACAAAGUUAACUAUUUUAAAGAAUGAAUGGAUCUUCGCCAGUGAUUCAGUGGCAGAAACAAAUAAGAUAGCAUAAUCCAAUGAUGUGGUGAGUAUGAACAGAAGUGCUACUAUGGUAUUUCCUGGUUUGUAAGACAUGUUUGUGGUUACAAUUGCUAUUCUUAUCUUCUCAUAUUGCAUCUCUGAUUGAUGAGCUCCUAUACUGCACAGUGCGGAGCAUGCACUAAUUCAUAGUGAAAGCAGAUUUGUGGGCAUUGAUGGUGAUGGUUGACAGUUGGUAGAGUGCUUUUGAUCUUGUUUUUCAGGGGAAGAAAAAGAAAGCAGAAGUGAAAGUAUGGUUGACAAUGUGCAGAAUUAGAAACACGAAUGGCAGAGAGCAGUGGUAGCGGAGAGUUCCAGAUUCAUCAGAGAAGAGGAGCAAAUAUAGCACUCUCUCCAACUAUUACACACCUACACUUGUGCUUGCAUACCUGCCAACAAUAGAACAGGCCAAUUAUUCGCAAAUUGCUUUUUAUAGCCUAAUCAACGUGAGUUGUACACAAUUCAGUUUUUUCGCACAUAUAUUGUUGGAUUAAGAGUCCAGGUGCACAGACAUAGAAAUGGGAGGAUUUCCUGAGUCCCUUCUUUGUUAGCGAUUACACAGAGGAGGAUGAACGGGAAACAGGAUAAAAGAUGAUUUGGAUCAUGGGGAUGGAUUCAAGAGACUAUUCUCCACUGUAAACUUACAUAAUCUGCUUUAAGGGAUUCUCCCUUCCAGAUGGCUCUGAGACAUGGGAUGAUGAGAACUGUUUUUCUUUUUAAUGCUGGAGGCAUUCUGAGGCAUUCUACACUAGCAGGCAAGGGUUGAGGUUUGUAUGAGAAUUCUUAUUUUCUUCAUGUCAAGAGGCUUUCAUUCCAUGACGUGGAUAAAUAUUUAUCCAUUUCAAGAGAAGCUCAGGCAAAAGUAAGGGUAAAUUACUAAAUAAUUUACAAGAUCUUUUCCCUCAUUCAAUUAACUAUAUUAUUUGAAGUUGUGCCUACUUAUUAGACUUGAGUAGCUGUUGUUCAAGGUAGGUUACUAUUCAAACCUGCUUUCACAUGUAUUUUUGGAUUAAGAGCCCAGAUGCGGAAAGAGAGAGUUGGCUGAAUUCUAAAGUGAAUGCUUUCCAAAUGAAUACUAGCAAUGGGAAACACUGAUAGAUCAAGGAGGCGAUCAUUGAGACUAUUCUCUACGUCAGAUUUAUUUUACUUGUAGACAUUGCCAACAGAAUUGCCAAAAAGGUGACUAAUUCUUCCUUCUAGAGGGACUCUUCCACAUGUGUGGAGCACUAUAUUUUGUUUUUAGUAUAAUUAUGGAAGGUUCAGCAAUUCCUCCCAGAGAUUUUAGCUGGUUUGAUGCGCCUGCCCAAGGCAGGUGUUCUUCUCGCUCACCGCUGCUUUGCAGCAGAGAGAGGGGGCCAUAAAAGCAUUGCACUAGAGGGUUUUGUGAUACCCAAGGGUUUAGCUGGUGUACCAUUCAUUGUAAAAUAAUGAAGGCAUCUUUCUUGCAUUUCUCUUGUAACAUUCGUGGUUGUUAAUGUUAUGUUUCAUAAGCUUGUUGCAAGUGGAAAUCUUCAAAUAUUUUGCGGGUUUCUGCC